CUGUACCAGAUGAAGAUUGA
rnacentral:siRNA from 1 species